rnacentral:rRNA from 1 species
AACGAACGCUGGCGGCAGGCUUAACACAUGCAAGUCGAACGCAUCGCAAGAUGAGUGGCAGACGGGUGAGUAACGCGUGGGAACAUACCCUUUUCUACGGAAUAGCUCUGGGAAACUGGAAUUAAUACCGUAUACGCCCUACGGGGGAAAGAUUUAUCGGGGAAGGAUUGGCCCGCGUUGGAUUAGCUAGUUGGUGGGGUAAAGGCCUACCAAGGCGACGAUCCAUAGCUGGUCUGAGAGGAUGAUCAGCCACAUUGGGACUGAGACACGGCCCAAACUCCUACGGGAGGCAGCAGUGGGGAAUACUGGACAAUGGGCGCAAGCCUGAUCCAGCCAUGCCGCGUGAGUGAUGAAGGCCUUAGGGUUGUAAAGCUCUUUUACCGAUGAAGAUAAUGACGGUAGUCGGAGAAGAAGCCCCGGCUAACUUCGUGCCAGCCGCCGCGGUAACAC